rnacentral:snoRNA from 1 species
AAACGAACACCCAAAUGAUGAGAACUUUAUUUCAAGAACCGGUAUUUUUAGGAAGAGCCGGAAUAGGUAUGGCAGGAGACUUCAUUAAGCUCCUUGCCGUCGGUGCUUAUAAUGGUUCUACUGAAUGGUGCUUCUGA